CCCCCCUCUGCCCGGACGCAGUGGUUGCGGCGGGGGGGGGGGGCGCCGCGGCCCGGGGUGGGGNNNNNNNNNNNNNNNNNNNNCCGUCCUUGCUUUCUCGCCCCCCCCGUUCAGGCGCUCGGCUCCUGCAGCUGAUGAGGAGCACCAGCAAGAUGUGGCUGCAGCAGUCAGACCUCGGCCCUAUGUUGAAGAGCGGGGCGAUGGGAUGCCGAGGCGCCGGAGGAACCUGGGAACCCGGAUGAUGGCCCAGAGGAGAGCACAACAGGCAGAGGAAUGGGUGGAAGAGGAAGAUGAUGCUGAGGAGGUGCCAGAACUUCAGGUGACAGGGAAAAUUGGAGCAAAAAAGCAGAGGAAAUUAGAAGAGAAACAAGCCAGAAAAGCUCAGAGAGAGGUAAGCAUUCCUAUCCCUGCCACGUACAAAGCUCAGAGCAAAACCUAAACAGUGAUACU
rnacentral:lncRNA from 1 species